rnacentral:rRNA from 1 species
AUACGUAGGUGGCAAGCGUUGUCCGGAAUUAUUGGGCGUAAAGCGCGCGCAGGUGGUUCCUUAAGUCUGAUGUGAAAGCCCCCGGCUCAACCGGGGAGGGUCAUUGGAAACUGGGGAACUUGAGUGCAGAAGAGGAUAGUGGAAUUCCAAGUGUAGCGGUGAAAUGCGUAGAGAUUUGGAGGAACACCAGUGGCGAAGGCGACUGUCUGGUCUGUAACUGACACUGAGGCGCGAAAGCGUGGGGAGCAAACAGGAUUAGAUACCCUGGUAGUCCACGCCGUAAACGAUGAGUGCUAAGUGUUGGGGGGUUUCCGCCCCUCAGUGCUGCAGCUAACGCAUUAAGCACUCCGCCUGGGGAGUACGGUCGCAAGACUGAAACUCAAAGGAAUUGACGGGG